UACGUAGGUGGCCAGCGUUGUCCGGAUUCAUUGGGCGUAAAUCGCGUGUAGGCGGUCAGGUAGGUCUGAUGUGAAAACCGGAGGCUCAACCUCCAGCUGUCAUUGGAAACCAUCUGGCUAGAGUCCGGAAGAGGAGAGUGGAAUUUCUGGUGUAGCGGUGAAAUGCGCAGAUAUCAGGAAGAACACCGAUGGCGAAGGCAGCUCUCUGGGACGGUACUGACGCUGAGACGCGAAAGCGUGGGGAGCGAACAGG
rnacentral:rRNA from 1 species